rnacentral:lncRNA from 1 species
UACUUAAUGGCCCAAAAGCAGACAACCAGUUAAUAUAACCCAACACACGAUCCAAUUUUGCAGCCCGUUACCUUGAUUCCUCGUGAUUCUUUCACCGGCGGUAGCGAAAUAGAGGUUCCCGACACCGUUGACUCAAAAAUCUGCCGAUAUUAUGAAGAUACCGACGACGGUGAGCGAUGGUAGCAAACUCAUCUACACAAGAUCAGCGACGCAGAUAGGGAUUCACGAUGCUUGCCGACACAGACUCCACAGAAAUUGAUGGCUACCACGAUGAAGUGAUCCGCCAGGUGAGUCCCAAAACUAAGAAUCGAGCCUUUCUAUGGAAGCCCAGAAAAUUUUCUAGCCAGAAGUGUCCUCUUAGAUCGAGGGCUCUUGUACCGUGACAAAACAAAUUGAUUUCAGUUUGAAUGCCUCUCAAUUUGACGAUCCAAUUUUGCAGCCCGUUACCUUGAUUCCUCGUGAUUCUUUCACCGGCGGUAGCGAAAUAGAGGUUCCCGACACCGUUGACUCAAAAAUCUGCCGAUAUUAUGAAGAUACCGACGACGGUGAGCGAUGGUAGCAAACUCAUCUACACAAGAUCAGCGACGCAGAUAGGGAUUCACGAUGCUUGCCGACACAGACUCCACAGAAAUUGAUGGCUACCACGAUGAAGUGAUCCGCCAGGUGAGUCCCAAAACUAAGAAUCGAGCCUUUCUAUGGAAGCCCAGAAAAUUUUCUAGCCAGAAGUGUCCUCUUAGAUCGAGGGCUCUUGUACCGUGACAAAACAAAUUGAUUUCAGUUUGAAUGCCUCUCAAUUUGAGUGUUGCUUCCAUUAAAUAGAUGAAAUUUGGCCAAUUACAAGGCUGUAAAUCAGUCGUUACAUAUUUCUUGCAUAAUCCUUGCUAUCUAUGUAUGGAAUUCUUGCUGCCUAUGUACACAAUUACACGGAAAUUACACGGGAUUAUAUCCUACUAAUUACCUAAACUAUCCAAUGGAAUUAAUCAGACUUCCGUAGAACUAUCUGUAUUUUAGAUCUAUGCUUUCAACAUGACCUCUGAUUUCCAAGCUUGAAUUCCUUCGGAUAAACAUGUGCUAUUAUUGCAACGGGUUGGUGGAGACAUCCAGGAACUCUGCAUAUUUGUUCUACAUUUCUCUUUCAACAUUUUUUCAGAAUCUCAUUUUCAAUAAAUUGUAACCCUAACAACAAACUAAGACUUUUUCCCAGUAAAUUUGGGGUUGGCUGCCAAAGAAGUGGAGAAUCAGUGAGUUGGACAAGGUUCCCUGCAAUCAUUUUUUGCCAUUGUCUUCUAUCCAUCAUCAGAUCUUUGUAAGAUCAAAUAAAAACAAAUCUUUCACAACCACAUCAACAC